GAACGAGAAAGUGGAGCAAUCCAUGAGUAAAGUGGCGACCGGGUGAGUAACACGUGACCAAUCUACCCUCGAGUGGGGGAUAACUCCGGGAAACCGGGGCUAAUACCGCAUAACAUCUUCGGAACGGAAGUUCUGUUGAUCAAAGGAGCAAUUCGCUUGAGGAGGAGGUCGCGGCUGAUUAGCUAGUUGGCGGGGUAAUGGCCCACCAAGGCGAAGAUCGGUAGCCGGCCUGAGAGGGCGCACGGCCACACUGGAACUGAAACACGGUCCAGACUCCUACGGGAGGCAGCAGUGGGGAAUUUUGCGCAAUGGGGGAAACCCUGACGCAGCAACGCCGCGUGGAGGAUGAAGUCCCUUGGGACGUAAACUCCUUUCGACCGGGACGAUUAUGACGGUACCGGUGGAAGAAGCCCCGGCUAACUUCGUG
rnacentral:rRNA from 1 species